rnacentral:lncRNA from 1 species
GGGCAGUCCAUCGGAUGGGAAUCUUUCCUCCCUGCAGAAAAAGGAGAAAAGGGCAUGCCAUGUGAUCCACAGGAAGAAGGACAUGAAGAUAGGACUUUGACCGGGUGCAGUGGCUCAUGCCUGUAAUCCCAGCACUUCGGGAGGCCGAGGCGGGCGAAUCACAAGGUCAGGAGUUCGAGACCAGCCUGGCCAACGCGGUGAAGCCCCGUCUCUACUAAAAAUACAAAAAAUCGGCCAGGCGCGGUGGCAGGCGCCUGUAAUCCCAGCUACUCGGGAGGCUGAGGCAGGAGAAUGGCUUGAAUCCGGGAGGCGGAGGUUGCAGUGAGCGGAGAUGGUGCCACUGCACUCCAGCCUGAGGGACAGAGCAAG